rnacentral:rRNA from 1 species
GCUUUGUUCUUAGUGGGCCCUUUUUGGUAAGCAGAACGGGUAAUGAGGGAUGAACCUAACGUUGAGAUAAGGCGCCAAAAUCUCCGCUCAUCAGAUACCACAAAAGGUGUUGAUUCAUACAGACAGCAGGACGGUGGCCAUGUAAGUCGGAAUCCGCUAAGGAGUGUGUAACAACUCACCUGCCGAAUGAAUUAGCCCUGAAAAUGGAUGGCGCUGAAGCGGGAUGCCGAUACUCAGCCAUCAAAGCAAAUGCGAAGCUUUGAUGAGUAAGAGGGCGUGAGCACGGUGCAGAAGCCUUUGGCGUGAGCCUGGGUUGAACUGUGUUUAGUGCAGAUCUUGGUGUUAGUAGCAAAUAUUCAAAUGAGAACUUUGAAGACCGACGUGGAGAAGGGUUCCAUGAGAACAGCAUUUGGUCAUGGGUUAUCCGAUCCUAAGGCAUAGGGAAAUUCCUUGUAAUACAAGAGCAAUUUGCUCGUUGCCGAAAGGGAUGAGGUUAAUAU